AUUGAACGCUGGCGGCAUGCCUUACGCAUGCAAGUCGAACGGUAACAGGUUAAGCUGACGAGUGGCGAACGGGUGAGUAAUAUAUCGGAACGUGCCCAGUCGUGGGGGAUAACGUAGCGAAAGCUACGCUAAUACCGCAUACGAUCUACGGAUGAAAGCGGGGGAUCGCAAGACCUCGCGCGAUUGGAGCGGCCGAUAUCAGAUUAGGUUGUUGGUGGGUAAAGGCUCACCAAGCCAACGAUCUGUAGCUGGUCUGAGAGGACGACCAGCCACACUGGAACUGAGACACGGUCCAGACUCCUACGGGAGGCAGCAGUGGGGAAUUUUGGACAAUGGACGCAAGUCUGAUCCAGCCAUUCCGCGUGCAGGAUGAAGGCCCUCGGGUUGUAAACUGCUUUUGUACGGAACGAAAAGGUCUCUCUUAAUACGGGGGACUCAUGACGGUACCGUAAGAAUAAGCACCGGCUAACUACGUGCCAGCAGCCGCCGUAA
rnacentral:rRNA from 1 species